CUACGUGCCAGCAGCCGCGGUAAUACGUAGGUGGCAAGCGUUGUCCGGAAUUAUUGGGCGUAAAGCGCGCGCAGGCGGAUUGGUCAGUCUGUCUUAAAAGUUCGGGGCUUAACCCCGUGAUGGGAUGGAAACUNCCAAUCUAGAGUAUCGGAGAGGAAAGUGGAAUUCCUAGUGUAGCGGUGAAAUGCGUAGAUAUUAGGAAGAACACCAGUGGCGAAGGCGACUUUCUGGACGAAAACUGACGCUGAGGCGCGAAAGCCAGGGGAGCGAACGGGAUUAGAUACCCCGGUAGUCCUGGCCGUAAACGAUGGGUACUAGGUGUAGGAGGUAUCGACCCCUUCUGUGCCGGAGUUAACGCAAUAAGUACCCCGCCUGGGGAGUACGACCGCAAGGUUGAAACUCAAAGGAAUUGACGGGGGCCCGCACAAGCGGUGGAGUAUGUGGUUUAAUUCGACGCAACGCGAAGAACCUUACCAGGUCUUGACAUUGAUGGACAGAACUAGAGAUAG
rnacentral:rRNA from 1 species